CCUACGGGCGGCAGCAGUGGGGAAUAUUGGGCAAUGGGCGCAAGUCUGACCCAGCAACGCCGCGUGAAUGAAGAAGGCCUUCGGGUUGUAAACUUCUUUUAUUCGGGACGAAACAAAUGACGGUACCUAAUGAAUAAGCCACGGCUAACUACGUGCCAGCAGCCGCGGUAAUACGUAGGAGGCAAGCGUUAUCCGGAUUUACUGGGCGUAAAGGGCGCGUAGGCGGGUUGGCAAGUCAGAAGCGAAAUUCCAGGGCUCAACCCUGGAACUACUUCUGAAACUGUUCUACUUGAGUGAUGGAGGGGCAAGCGGAAUUCCUAGUGUAGCGGUGGAAUGCGUAGAUAUACGGAGGAACACCAGUGGCGAAGGCGGGCUGCUAGACAUUAACUGACACUGAGGCGCGAAAGCGUGGGGAGCAAACAGGAUUAGAUACCCUUGUAGUC
rnacentral:rRNA from 1 species